rnacentral:lncRNA from 1 species
AUGCCCUUUCAACUCGCCGAUGAAUUAUCAAUCUGUACAGUGAGAAUGAUAAACUCCAGAACUGUAGGAAGCACAUACACAGAACCUAAGUAUACGCCUAACACUGGAGUGGUUCCAGAAGCAGCUCAGGCCUGUGACACAGUGGCUACAGGGAUCAAACUCAGGACCUGGAACUUGCCAGGCAGGUGCUGUGCCACUGAGCUACAUUCCCAGCCCCUGUAUUUCUUGAUUACCAGUAAGGGUGAGCAUUCUUUCCUAAUGCUUCAUGUUCUAAGAAUUACCUAUUUGUGUCUUUUACCAUUUUUUUCCUCUUAGGUUGUACUUUUAUAUUUUUCAAAUAAAUCUUUUGUUGGUGAGCUAUGUUAGAAAUAUGUUGUAGAGUUUUGGUUUUGGAUACAAUCUAUAUCCCUUCAUUAGGGAAUUAAGACCAUUUAUUGAGUGUUCUUACUGAAACAUAUUUACAGAAUCUUGUAAAUGCAGUAUUUUUCUACUGCUGAUUCCUUAUUUUUUCUUUUUAUUUAACUACUCUCCUUGUUGGAUAUAUUCCUUCCUUGGGGCUUUAUAGUGAUGUUACUCUCACUGUCUCUGACUUAGCAACUAGAGAAAUUAAGCAAAACAUGGAGAUUAAAUAAAACACUUCUGAAUAAUCAGUGAGUCAUAGAAGAAAUCGGGCAAAAAAUUUAAAAAUUCCUAGAAUCGAGAUGCCGAAUCACCUCGCUGCAGACAGGCAGGUCUGCCCACACCCUACGAGGACCCCAGUCGUGCGGAACACACCGAAUCAGCCUGCUGCAGACAGGCAGCUCUGUGCACACCCUACCGAGGUCCUGAGUCGCGCGAAAGACACCGAAUCACCCCGCCGCAGACAGGCAGCCACCUGAUUCCACACUACAAAGACCCAGAGGACACCAGACCACCAGACCAAGAUACUGAGUCCCACUGUUCCCGGCCCAGAGGGAGGGGCUUCUGAGCCACCGUCCCACUGCUCCUGGUCCAGAGGAAGGGGUUUCCCGGCCCAGAGGGAGGGGCUUCUGAGCCACCAUCCCACUGCUCCUGGUCCAGAGGAAGGGGUUUCCUGGCCACCAUCCCUCUGGCUG